UCCUGGCGCUGCUGGCCAUCGGAAUUGCGGCCUGCUGCUGCUGGAGGAGGAGGAGGAGGAGGAAAGGCGCCAGGCAGGGCUACGCCGUGACGGAGACGGACAUUCCCAUGGAGGGAAUUCCCUCUGGGAACCAGGAGGUGCCACCUCCUGUCAUUGUCCCCACGGGCUGAGCGCCCCCCCUGGGGACGCCGGGCGCACCCACCGUGCCGAGGGACGCCGGAGGAUGGAAUUCUGGAUGCUUCCCUGAGGGGGGGGCAGAGCACACGGAGCAGCCAGGGAUGCGUGGCUGCUCUUCCCGGCCUCAACAUGGAUGGCUCCCAUGGAUGAUCCCAAAGCCACAGAGCCGGAGCCAAAGGAAUUGGGACCAUCCUGGCUCCCCCAGAGCUCAGGGAUCCUUUGGAAUCACUCCCAGCCCUGAUCCCGGCUCUGGAUCCCGAUCCCAGCGGCUCAGGGGAGCCCAAGCUGG